GACGCGGGCCCGCUACGAUGCCAUUUAAAGGAUAAGUUCGCAUUCUGUACGGGUGCGAUCAUACCAGCACUAA
rnacentral:rRNA from 1 species